CGGGUGAGUAAUGCGUGACCAACCUGCCCCAUGCUCCAGAAUAGCUCUUGGAAACGGGUGGUAAUGCUGGAUGCUCCAACUUGACGCAUGUCUUGUUGGGAAAGUGUUUAGUGGCAUGGGAUGGGGUCGCGUCCUAUCAGCUUGUAGGCGGGGUAAUGGCCCACCUAGGCUUCGACGGGUAGCCGGCCUGAGAAGGCGGACGGCCACAUUGGGACUGAGAUACGGCCCAGACUCCUACGGGAGGCAGCAGUG
rnacentral:rRNA from 1 species